AUUGAACGCUGGCGGCAUGCCUUACACAUGCAAGCCGAACGGCAGCACGGGUGCUUGCACCUGGUGGCGAGUGGCGAACGGGUGAGUAAUACAUCGGAACGUACCUUAUCGUGGGGGAUAACGCAGCGAAAGUUGCGCUAAUACCGCAUACGCCCUGAGGGGGAAAGCGGGGGACCGUAAGGCCUCGCGCGAUUAGAGCGGCCGAUGUCUGAUUAGCUUGUUGGCGAGGUAAAAGCUCACCAAGGCGAUGAUCAGUAGCUGGUCUGAGAGGACGAUCAGCCACACUGGGACUGAGACACGGCCCAGACUCCUACGGGAGGCAGCAGUGGGGAAUUUUGGACAAUGGGGGCAACCCUGAUCCAGCAAUGCCGCGUGAGUGAAGAAGGCCUUCGGGUUGUAGAGCUCUUUUGUCAGGGAAGAAACAGCAGCUCUAACACAGUCUGCGAAAGUGACGGUACCUGCAGAAAAAGCACCGGCUAACUACGUGCCAGCCGCCGCCGUAA
rnacentral:rRNA from 1 species